rnacentral:rRNA from 1 species
GAGUUUGAUCCUGGCUCAGGACGAACGCUGGCGGCGUGCUUAACACAUGCAAGUCGAACGGGAUGAUUUAGAAGCUUGCUUUUAGAGAAUCUAGUGGCAAACGGGUGAGUAACACGUAGACAACCUGCCGACAGGAUGGGGACAACAUUCCGAAAGGAAUGCUAAUACCGAAUGAAGCGGAGGAGAGGCAUCUCUCUUCCGCGAAAGAUGGCCUCUUUUUAUGCUAUCACCUGUCGAUGGGUCUGCGUCUGAUUAGCUGGUUGGUGAGGUAACGGCUCACCAAGGCGACGAUCAGUAGUCGGUCUGAGAGGAUGAACGGCCACAUUGGGACUGAGACACGGCCCAGACUCCUACGGGAGGCAGCAGUGGGGAAUCUUCCGCAAUGGGCGCAAGCCUGACGGAGCAACGCCGCGUGAGUGAAGAAGGUCUUCGGAUCGUAAAGCUCUGUUGAUGGGGACGAACGUGCGAAGGGUGAAUAAUCCUUUGCAAUGACGGUACCUAUCGAGGAAGCCACGGCUAACUACGUGCCAGCAGCCGCGGUAAUACGUAGGUGGCGAGCGUUGUCCGGAAUCAUUGGGCGUAAAGGGAGCGCAGGCGGGCAUGUAAGUCUUUCUUAAAAGUUCGGGGCUCAACCCCGUGAUGGGAAAGAAAACUAUAUGUCUUGAAUC